AUGCUAAAGAACAGAAUAGGCACAUGUAACCCUCUCUCACCUUCUCCCUCCCCUUUCAUAGAGAUGAAAUGAAAAGGAAUUAAUGAGGACAGAUUAUUGGAUUAGGGCCCAUACUCAGGGCUCUAACAGCAUGGGGAGUUUCUCCUGUCACUUCAGUUCUUGUUCAGGAAUUGGCACCUCCUUUUUGUGAAUCACAAAGACCAGUGCUUUAUAUCAAGCCAUUUAGAUUUGGGCUAUGGAGCAGUGACUUAAAAAAAUUAAAUUUUAUUUUCAGAGAUUUUUUCUAUUAAUUGUUUACAUUUAUUUUAAUUGUAUAUUCUGAAACCGCUACAAAAAGGCAUGAAAUAAUUAUUUAAAUUUUAAUUCAUAUGGGUCAAAAUGUAUGUUAAACUACCUAUUGUCGCCUUCACAGUCGUUGUUAUGUUUGAGCCGAUUGUUGUGGCCACUUGUUACCAAGUAUGACUUUCUUCUCCAGGGACUGAUCUCUCCUGACAACAUGUCCAAAAUAUGUGAGAUGAAGCCUCGCCAUUCUUGCUUCUAAGGAAUAUUCUGGCUGUACUUCUUUCAAGACAGAUUUGUUCAUUCUUUUGGCAGUCCGUGGUAUAUUCAAUAUUCUUUGCAAACACCGUAAUUCAGUGCCUUCAAUUUUUCUUUGGUCUUCCUUAUUCAUUGCCCACCUUUUGUGUGCGUAUGAGGUGACUGAAAAUACCAUGGCUUGAGUCAGGCACACAUUAGUUUUCAAGGUGACAUCUGUGCGUUUGAACACUUUAAAGAGGUCUCUGGCAGCAGAUUUGUCCAAUGCAAUGUGUCGUUUGAUUUCUUGACUGCUGCUUCCAUGGGUGUUUAUUGUGGAUCCAAGUAAAAUGAAGCCCUUAAUGAUGUCAACAUUUUCUCCGUUGUCAUGAUGUUGCUUAUUGGUCCAGUUGUUAGGCUGUCAGUCUGCAGUCUUUGAUCUUCAGCAGUAAAUGCUUUAAGGCCUCUUCACUUUCAGCAAGCAAGAUUGUAUCACCUGCAUAUCUCAGGUUAUUAAUCAGUCUUCCUCCAAUCCUGACGCCUUAUUCUUCUUCAGACAGUCCAGCUUCUCGGAUUAUUUGCUCAGCAUACAGGUUGAAUAGGUAUGGUGAAAGGAUAUAACGGUGAUGCACACCUUUCUUGACUUUAAACCAUGCAGUAUUCCUUGUUCUGUUUAGAUGACUGCCUCUUUUUCUAUGUACAGGUUUCUCAUGAGAACAAUUAAGUGUCCUGGAAAUCUCAUUCUUCCCCAUGUUAUCCAUAAUUUGUUAUGAGCUGGAGUAGGUCUCAGAAAUAAUGUGCCAUUUCUUCCAGUUGGUUGUGCACAGCUGCCUACUUCCCUAGGUGGUAGCAGCUAAGGCCUGUCUCAGAAACACUCCCCUCCUCACUAAGCAUGAUUCUUCACACUGCUCCAUCUUCUUUCCCGUGUGUGUCUCCUUCCCUCCUCAGUGGCUGGGGAAAAUGAUAGUAGUCCACUGAUGAGAUUUAUUCUUUUAUUAUACUUUAUUUUAUCAUUUGUUUUUAUAACAUAGUUCCGUUAAAAUCAAGGGUAAUAAAAAUGUUUGUGUGAUGGAAGUGGAUAAUCCCAUCCAUUGUGUCCAUCUAAAGUUUCAUGAGAAAACUGUGCCCACAACAGAGGGCUCCCACUCCUCUGGCUCACUGUAUUUUCUCCUUGUUUAUUUGCUCUUCCCUCUUUCCUGAUGCAUGCAUGGGACCACUGAGCUUCAAGACUCCACAAUUCUGCUUUUCAUACCAGUGUUACUGUAAUCUUGGGUUCAUGGGAUGCCUUGCCACAGAUUUACUCAUUCUGUCUCUGUUAAUUAUUUCAUUACUUAAAAAUCUCUCAUGAAUUUUUCCAGAAGUACAUUCUAUUCCUCAAAAACUUGGAAGCAAUGGGAAAGUAUGCAAUAAAUAACAAGAAAACAUACGUAAUGCAUAGAAUAAAUUAUUAACGUUCCGAUAUGUCUGUUAUCUUACUUACAUUUGCAUGUAUAUGUAUUAGAGUCUCUGGUUGAUGCAAAUGGUUAAUAUCUUGAGCUGCUGACAGAAAGUUGGAGUUCAGGUCCACCCAGAAUUGCUAUGAAAGAGAGGUCUGGCAGUCUACUUCCGAAAACUCAGCCACUGAAACCCCUAUGGAGUACAGUUCUACUCUGGCACACUGGUGUCCUCAUGGAUCAGAACUGACUCAGUGGCAACUGGUUUUAUGUGGGUAUUAGCACACACAUUUAUGUGUAUUAACACGGCUAUUAUAUCCUGAUAUUUUCAUUCAUCAUUAGUCUUUUCUCAUGAUAAUUUUUUUUUGUUUUUUUUUAAUGAGGGCAUUAAAUUACUUUAUAAUAUUCUGUGUGCAUGUAGUAUAUGUUUUUUAACGAUCUGACUAUAGUUGCAAUAAUGAAUGUGCAUGUUUCUAGUAAUCUUCAACGUAUACUUACAUCUUUUUAACAUACAUCUCUGCCAUUAAAUCUCUUUGUUUAAUUAUUGUUUAACACUCUUUACGCCUAAGAGAUGGUCUCAGAAGCAGCCCUGAUCAGUUUUUCUCCCUCUUACUCAUGAAGCCCCUUAAUGUAUUCCAAGGUAUCAACUACGAAGCAUUUUACGUCCUUAUCGUUUGUUUAUUUUUCAUUCAGUCAGUAUAUUCCACGGGCCAGAAAUAGUCUAUGUUAUGCAGAUACAGUGGUGAAAGGUACACACUGUCCCUGUCGUCAUGAAGGGGACAACCCAGUGCAGGGGGGAGGAGCACUGGGGAAAUGCAGCUGAGAGCAAGGACAGACAACCCUCCAGGCACCACACUGGACUUCAGAGAGGCUUGUUGGCUGCUGUUCACCUGGCAGGCUUCUAGACACCAGAGUACCCUUGGGCUUGGUGCCUGCUCCUCUCUCUACUGACACCCUCCCUCUAGGAUGCCUCAGUGAGUUCACUGCUGUCUAUUUGUAGCUAAGGACCUGAGGUUUAUACCUCCAUCCAUUCAAACUCCUCCUGGGUCCAGAGUCAUAUAUUCAAAUGUCAGCCUAACUCUCUGUAUUGACCUCUUUAUGCAUUAUAAUGAUACAUUCCUCAUAUGGCCAUCACGAAAAGCAAACAUGAAAGAAAAAGCACGGGAGUGCCUGGCACCAGUGUAGGUACUCAAUGAACAUUAGCUGUUGGUAUUAUCCUUGACAUCCCCAUGUGGGGUGAAGUUUUAUUACCUGACAUUUCCGUGUGAAUAUCUAACAGCUACACCAUGUUAUCUAGGCUAUGAAACAAUUCUUGGUUCCAACCACCAUUCUGUCCUUAUCGAUGAAUUUCUCAAGGCUUCGGUGAUGGGAGUGUGUGUUUUUCCACACAAUGGACGUGAUUAGGAAUGGUUGGCUAUGUCCUACACAAUAAAUUGCUCCAGCAUUCCUAUGGGUGACCAUUGAGACAAGUUUCAGCCAACGAAUGUAGCAAAGAAUUGGAACCACUCUCAGCUGUUCAUGCGAGUACUCUCAAUCCAGAAUAUCUGGUAAAUCGACUGUUAGGGAUUGAAUUGUGUCCCUCCACAAUGUAUGUGGAAAUCCUAACCCCUGUACCUGUAAAUCUGACCUUGUUAGGAAAGGGGGGGCCUGCUUUUAUUAUGUGAAUGAGGUCAUACCAAUGUAGGGUGGGUCCUAAGCCUAACUCCUCUUAGUUAUAAAAGGAGCAGAAUACACACAGACACAAACAGAUGAAAAGGAAGACAGACAAAGAAGACAGAUGCUUCUAGAAGGCCAGGAACACAAAUGAUUGCUGGCAUCUACUAGAAGCUGAGGUAGACAAGGAAGGACCUCCCACUACAGCCAUGCCCUGAAUUCGAACGACUACCUGCUAAACUGUGAGAAAAUAAAUUUCUGUUCUUUAAAGCCAUCCAGUUGUGUUAUUUUUUGUUAUGGAGGGACUAGGUAACUAACACACAUACCCGUUCUUAUAAGUUCAGCCCAGUGCAGAAUAAUUUUCUUCCCUCCUUGGUCUAACCCACCCGAACCUGCUCUUUCCCUAUCAGUGUCCUUUGCUUUCACCUAAGAGCUAUGACAGAGUCAGCUCGAUGGUGAUGCAUUGAAAUUUCAAUUUAUUUUUUAUUUAUGAUUACUAUUAAUUCCAGUAUUUUCUACAGUUUUCAAUGGAGACAGUCCUAUAAUCUAUGAAUAGCAGUUAUACUUUUUCUCUUUUUGUACUAGCUUACACUUCCAGUGUUCAAUGUUUAAUAAAAGUAAUGAUAGAAGCACCCUUAUUUUAUUGUUUAUUAAUUUUAAAGAGAAUGUCCCACACGUCACCAUGAACUAUCAUGCUAGUUGUAGUUUUCUACGUUUGGGAACUCCUUUUCUGUUCCAUAUUUGCUCCUAGUCCUUAUCUCUCCGUGUGAUUGGAUUUUAUCAACCUGCUUUGCCCCCAUCUCUUGAGGUGAGCAUAUGUCUUCUCUUCUUUCACCUAUGCAUGUGGUGAAUGAAAUUACUAAAUCUUUAACGUUCACUCAAAUUUAUAUGCCUACAAUAAACCGCCUUGAUCAUGGCAUGUUACGUGGUUUAUACUUUGCUGGAUUUCCUUUGCUGGCAUCUUACGUAGGGUUUUGCAUCUCAGUUACUGAGUGUGCUUGUCCUCUAACUCUUCUCUACCAUCCUUCUCUAAUUUGUUAUCAUUUUUAAACUAGCCUUAAGGAUCAAGUUAGGGGAGUAUCUCAUGGUUUUCUAAUCUCUGUUGACUAUGUACAAGAUUAAAGUUACUGUUUCUUGCAUGUUUGCUGGAACCUGACUGGAAACGAUCUAGGUCUGCCAUUUUCUUUGUAGGGAGAUCUUGAAGUACUGACCCAUUUUAUUUAGUGGUUAAAGGCAUCUUCUGGUGCUAAUUUACUUAGAAAAAAUUCUGAUGCAUGUUCUAGGUUGCUCGAAUCUCAUCUUCAAAUAUUGAUUAUCAGGGCUUGUAGCCUCAUGCAAGGCAAUUCAUCAAUCCCAGAUUUCCCCAAAGUCAGGCUCUGCAACUCUUCCUGGUACCAAAUUCCCUCAUUUAAGACUUAUUUGCAAAGAGACAACAGUAUGCUAUCUACGCAGUUGUUUAUCCGCAGCCUUCUUGAGUCCAUAAUGUGAGGAUACAGUCUUCUAAUACUUUUUUUGUAAUUGUUCUUUUUCUUAUUUUUUUUUCCUUUUUUCACUGCCAAAACCCACCUCCCCAGUCUAGUAGUUUUAAAGUUGUGAGUUUCAGGUUCAAGUCUGUAAUCCAGCUGAGCUUCUGUGUGUGCUGCAUGUGUGCAUCAAAAGAACACGCUUCUAGAAGCAGAAAGCAGGCAGUGCGACUGUUGGGUGGUUGGUGGGGUAGGGGGAGGGGAGCUGCUGCUCAGAGACAGCACCCGAGGGAGGCACGAGAUGCCGGGCUGCCCACCGCAAGCCCGCAGGCUCCAAGGAGGAGGAAACUGCGUGCGCCAUGAGCCUUUUGAGACAGGCCCAAGCCCACCUAGCCGGGUGCUAACCUCACAUCUGCCAGGCUUGCAGGUUCCACCAGGACUAGGGGAAGCCUAAGGCCAAGGAGGGCAAGGUCUAGGGUCUGGACCUGAAAACUGGUUCUGCCACUUGUGAUCACAGCGCUUAUGCUGGAAAGGAGGGCAGGAAGCAUAUCGCAAUGUGUGUCCGGACGAUGACCCAGAAGGGGGGAGUUGUGGUCACCUACGGACUCUGGGUCUGCAUAUGGAGGCCCCCAGGGUGCAAUUCCAGGAGCAGAAGGCAAAGCACAGAGGCCAAAGUGUACCUCGCCGAUGCUUCCCAGGGGCAUUUCCCCAAAUAUGGGGAGCAGUCCCUUCUCUGGGCUAGGGACUUUGUUUCCUCCAUUGUCAUCACUGACUGUGAGCAGACUCUAGUCUAUGAAGACUAAUGAGGAGCUAUCAAAAUGAGCUCCAAACUCCGGAUUUGAGUUAAGGAUCAUAAAUUAACACAGAGAAAUACGACUUUAGCAAUAAGUGACUGUUUGAAGUCCAGGUUGCCUUAAAACACGGAAUUUCAGUCUUUCAGCUCCUCUGCUAAUGUAGUGACUAAGAACAGGAUCUCAGUGGAGCUCAAAGAUGUGGGGCACUGGGAAUACUCUGGGUCUGUCUGCUCACGGCUGAUUGCCUGAUUCCCAGUUUUAUUAUACAGCUUAAAUACAGACCAGAAGAGGAGUUUGGGGCUUGACACCUGACAUCUUAACACCAGUUCCUGUUUCUUGAGGAAGGAAGAGGUAAAAUAAAUCAGCGUUUACUGUGUCCUUCUCCAUCCCCGGAAGUCUUCAUGAAGACCCUCUCAGCUUCAACUUGAACGUGAAUAUGAGCAACUGAUCAUCUGUUCUGCAGUCAGCCCCUGGCCUGAUUCUGACUCAUGAUAUUGACCUUCUCCAUCAUCACCUUCCACAAAUUUGAUUCCUAUCUAUUCUGCCUGGAAUAGCUCACGAGUAUAGUCACCAUUUAUGUUCCUGAUGAAAGCAGGAGAAGGCAUUCGUGGAGAGAGGCGGAUUCCAUGUGUGCAGGCAAAGUGUGUGCUGAGAUGAUGAGUCGCUGGAGACCAGUGUGCACUCUUCAGACCCAGGAUAGGCCUCUGGCAGCAGGAGAAGGCAUUCAUGGAGAGAGGCGGAUUCCAUGUGUGCAGGCAAAGUGUGUGCUGAGAUGAUGAGACCCUGGAGACCAGGGUGGACUCUUCAGACCCAGGAUAGGCCUCUGGCAGGUAUGUGUCAAUAUUUUCUGCCCGUGGCACUCACCCGGGUAUUUGCAUACAAUGUCAUCAGCGGAAUUAGUAGUCUCCGGAGAGGCUUCCACAUGUCAACAACAUUCACCCGGCCAGGGUCCACCCGUGAGGUAGCUCUCCAAUCAAUCACUACUCUCUAGACCUUCCAGAUAGACUAGCAGAUCUUCUCUGCCCAUGGGCAACCAGUAGAGCCAGAGGCCUUCCCCCUUUGCUCUUUCAUCUCUAGGCACUCUGUCAGGCACUCCAAGCUGUGAAGUGACUCGGGGAGAGAAGGAAGAGAUUUCAGAGGAUGAACACAUACAGAGAGAGAGGCAAGAUAUGCUGAGUGGGGAUGUCUUGCGUACUGUUAUCCUGAGGAAAGUGGGAAAAUCGGACCCUGGCCUGCUCUGCCAAUGCCCUGAAGCAGUCCGCACCAGGGGAUCCCUUGUGCCUGCGUAGCCUUUCCCAGGGUGUGCUCAAAUCCUGUGGCCACUAGGUGUCCUAGGUCACAAUGGAGGGCCCUGUGUCAUCUGCCUGGUGGGCUGGAUCUCUGCCACUGGCUGAGUCUUGUCACCAGGCCCAUCGUAAGCUCCGCCCACUCUUCCGGUGGGGGGACUGUCUCCAUGGUGAUGGCAAAGAAGCCUUAGUUCCGCCUACCUGGCCUUCACUUCACCUACCUGGCCUGCUGACCCUCACUCAGACCUCUGUGUUGAUCAAAAUAAAUGUCCGCCAGUGGCCAGGUGUCAGCAUCUGGGACAAAGGAUUCGGGACCUUGCCUGAGGCAGAAGGCAGCCUAGGUCUGUGGGUACCUGGAAGUCUAGUGACUUGUGACGCUGCUGCCAGUGAUAGAUGGUGACUCCCACACUCACAUAUCCCCUGGUGGCAGA